AACAACAGUAUCUUCUUGCAUGUGCAAAUUCAAUUCCUUUCUGAUAUUUAAUAUCACCGACUAUUACAACGAUUUUCAUUGGACGGUGUUCAAAGUGAUCAUAGCAAAAGAAUCACGUAUUUUCGUAUAUGCAUAUCAUUUAUUCAUUUGCAAAGAGAAGUUGUAUGCGAGUGGAUUUCGUAAUUAAAUUACUUCUUAACCAAACAAAAUUGUGAUGUGCGUGAUGUACUAUAUAAUCGUAAUAACAAUAAUAAUCAUGCUACUUCUCUUUCUGACUUUUGCAAUAUAUUUUAAUCUUUAAUUCGAAAAAAAAAAGAAGAGAACAAAGAAUAAUCAUGAUCGAGGCUAAUUAAUACGCAAAAAUUUGUAAAAUUCGCGACAAAGUGUUCUGAGCAAAUCGCAUCGGCAAUAAAAACAUCGCGCGCCUUCGCGUUGCGCUGCAAAUAAAUUUUUUGAGAUCCAAUAUAAUUCGUGAUAUCGUUGAUAAUUGCGACGUUUUCUUUUCGUCGACUAUAUUUCAAUUUCUAUGGACACGUCCAAUGUAAUCAUGGCCAAAGAUCGACCGAGAUACGAUUCUUCGGGAAUCGAGGAUCGAUCGAUCGACGGUGGUAUCGUCAUCGAGAGGCUGUCACUGUUGGAUGAUGACGCAUCGUAACUCUCUGCCACAGUGAAGUCUCGGUGUCGCCUUGAGUGCUGAAAGGAAUGAAAAAUGCAUACGUAAGAACCGCAGAGGAAACUGGGUUAAAGCCGCGAGAGGGUCAAGAAAAGAAGAGUCUCGUGCGGUGUUCGCAGUGGUGGAAUCGAUGAUGGGGAGAAAUCGACCGUGGAGAUUAGGCACGAUCGGGGUUGAAGGAAAGAGGGCCGCCGGCAUCGUUAACCGAAAAUUAGAGCGGGCCACUUGCCCAUCGUCGCGGAUACGGGGGAGGGGGCCGUGUAUAUCGUGACACGGCCCCAUUCUUCUCCAAGAACUCGCGGAAUUUCGCUCACGUUUGACCAGAGCCGCCGACCGAUGGUGCCUCUUUUCCAUUUUUAUUAAAAACGUCGAACGCCGGCGCGGAGAGAAGGAACGAAGCGUUAUUAGCAAACUUUGUUACCCAAGUAAUUUCUUUUGUGCCCGACCCGUUGUUGAUACGAAACAUCAUCCACUAUGAAAAUUAAUCUUCUUAAAAAAGCCGGCGGGAAGAUGCUUCGAAGAAGGAGAUUGCUUCUCCCUCGCAUCAAACGAUACCUCUCUCCUUUUUUCCAUCUGCCUUUUAUCUUUAAUUUUAUCCUUUGUUCGACGAACCAUUCGAAAUAAAAUAAACGUAUAAACAAAUUGUCCCAAGACGAUCCCUUUCUUCUUCUCUAUCCAUGUACAACGAAUCACUGGCUACUUGUUAAUUCGUCAAACGUAAAAUUAUCAACUGUGAGUUAUUAACGGAUUAAUUCGUAAACUUUUAUAAAUAUUGCUAUUAUAAAUGGGCAAAUAUUUGUUUAAUAUCUUUUUUUUUUUUUUUAGGUAAAAAUUUUUCCAUCUAAUAAGGUAAAUCGUACACGAUCGUGCAACAUUUGAAAAGACGAGGAUUUGUUGAUAAAUUUUAUUUGGAUUAUCAAUUAUUAUAUCUUUUUUAUAUAUAAAAAUUCGUGUAAUAAAUAUUAUAUAUCUUUUCUAAUAAAUGUUACAUACCUGUUUUA